rnacentral:rRNA from 1 species
GACGUAGGGGGCAAGCGUUGUUCGGAAUUAUUGGGCGUAAAGCGCUCGUAGGCGGGACAGGAAGUUCGUGUUGAAAGACCUCGGCUCAACUGAGGGACCGGCUCGAAUACUCUUGUUCUUGAGGCAAUCAGAGGGUGAUGGAAUUCCCGGUGUAGCGGUGAAUGCGUAGAUAUCGGGAGGAACACCGGGUGGCGAAGGCGGGUCUCUGGGCCGAUACGUGACGCUGAGGAGCGAAAGCGUGGGGAGCGAACAGG